rnacentral:rRNA from 1 species
GACGAACGCUGGCGGCGUGCCUAAUACAUGCAAGUAGAACGCUGAAAUAAGAGCUUGCUCUUAUGGAUGAGUUGCGAACGGGUGAGUAACACGUGGGGAACCUACCUUCUAGCGGGGGAUAACACAUAGAAAUGUGUGCUAAUACCGCAUAACAAUGAUUGAUGCAUAUCGAUUAUUUGAAAGGCGCAAUUGCGUCACUAGAAGAUGGCCCCGCGGUGCAUUAGCUAGUUGGUGAGGUAACGGCUCACCAAGGCAAUGAUGCAUAGCCGACCUGAGAGGGUGAUCGGCCACACUGGGACUGAGACACGGCCCAGACUCCUACGGGAGGCAGCAGUAGGGAAUCUUCGGCAAUGGACGCAAGUCUGACCGAGCAACGCCGCGUGAGUGAAGAAGGUUUUCGGAUCGUAAAACUCUGUUGUAAGAGAAGAACGUUGAUGAGAGUGGAAAGUUCAUCAAGUGACGGUAUCUUACCAGAAAGCCACGGCUAACUACGUGCCAGCCGCCGCCGUAACAC